UAACUCCCUAUGGAACUGUCAUGUGUGAUAAUAAUGGCGGAGUUGGCAAAAACACAAUCAGAUCUGGGACCAGGCUAUAGGAGGAGACAACAGAUCUGGGACCAGGCUAUAGUAGGAGACGACAGACAACGGUUGGGACACAUCCAAUCCCUGCUUUGAGGUGGCAGAUGGCCAUAUGACAGAGACCUCUCAGUAUCAAUACAGUAUUUAACAAUAGUAUGCAUACAUUAGAUGCUGGAAAACUCUUGAAUGGUCCACAAAAUGUGUGGAUAAAAGUUCCCAUCAUUGAAGUGUUUCGCAACUCCAGUUCUCCAAUACCCCCAACAGCCCAACUCCAGUCCUCCAGUACCCCCAACAGCCCAACUCUAGUCCUCCAGUACCCCAACAGCCCAACUCCAGUCCUCCAGUACCCCCAACAGCCCAACUCCAGUCCUCCAGUACCCCCAACAGCCCAACUCUAGUCCUCCAGUACCCCAACAGCCCAACUCCAGUUCUCCAAUACCC
ensembl:lncRNA